AUGCAGAUCAUCAAUGCCGUGGUACUGUUGAUUUUAUUGAGUGCCCUGGCUGAUCCGGAUCAGUAUCACUUUUCAAGUUCUGAACUGGGCGGUGACUUUGAGUUCAUGGACGAUGCCAACAUGUGCAUUGCUAUUGCGAUUUCUCUUCUCAUGAUUCUGAUAUGUGCUAUGGCUAUUUAUGGAGCAUACAAGGUAAGCAGCUUGCAGUAAGAUGCUGGCCUUUUCCUCGGUCUCUUACUUGUUUCAUCUGUGCUGCUAUCUAUAGUAAGAAAGAAGUGACUUUCCAGCUUUCUGUAAGAAUCUCUGAAUAAUGUUUAAAUCUCUCAUUUGUA
rnacentral:lncRNA from 1 species